AGGAGAGGCUGCAGAGCGGCGCGGUCCCAGCGGGCAGCACGGCGGGGAACGGAGCGGGUUGAGCUCGCUGAAUUGCGGCACAGCCGGAGUGGUGCGUGAGAAGGAGGAAGGGAGGGAGUGAGCGAGAGAGCUAGCGGGCGGAACAGUAAGAGCGGUGCAGGUUGCCGGCCGGAGCCGCAGCACGGACGGGGCUGCCGGGCUCGGCCUAGCGGGCUGCCCGGGGCCCCGCUCGGCAGCGGCGGCCUCAGAGUGUCCGGGGGCUGCUCCGGGCUGCGUGAGGCCGUUCCCUGCGCUGGGCCGGCCUCGGGCUCCGGGUGCUGCUGUCCGCGGGGCCGCAUCGCCUCCGCCCCGUUCGUGGGGUGCAUGGGGAGAGAGAAUGCAUCGGGCUGGCAAGGGCAGCUGGAGUGCGAGGAGCAGAUCGCAGUGACUGCAGAGCACUGAUUGGUGUUAGCUCAUCUACUUUGCUGUUAAAAUCUUCAUGCCUGCGUUAGGGUGCAGACUUCACUCGGAUGAUGCUCAUAUAGAUAUCUGCCUUUUCC
rnacentral:lncRNA from 1 species